CAAACGGGCGCUCGCCUGUUUCGGAACCGGGCCGUGUCCGCGGGCCCCACUAACUCACUUCACUCAUGGGAAAGUAUUGUCCCACAGCUGUUUGUGGAGAGUCCUCAGCCCCUGGAGCAACCUGGAUGGAGACCAACUCCGUCCCCAUUUCCUGUCUGGUGGAAUUCCAGAGGAGAAAGGCACUGAGUGCACCCGAGAAACGCGCCAUGGGAACGCGCACAGAGGCACCCACAGUUCCAGACCACUGACCUCUUGGUUCUGGUCUCUGCUCAAACGCCCCUUUCCUGACCCUCCCCGUCAGCUGUCUCUCACUCUCUGCUCCUCACCCGUCAUUUUCUUCCUAGUGCCCCAUAUCACUGACCACAGCAUGUGUUCUCCUACUGGACAGGCUCUUCUCCAGAAUGCCAGAUCCAGGAGAGCAGGCCUUGAUUUUGCUCACUGCCGUGUCCCUGGUGCCCAGAGAAGUUGAUCAUGUUAAAUGAACAGUUAAUAAGCGCCAGGUGCUGUGUUGUGUUUCACAAGGACCAUCUAAUUCAUGACAACGCUCUGAGGGUUUUUACCGAAGUAGAAAAUGAAUCCCAGAGAGGUGAAGAUUACCCUGGCAUCUGUGCUCAUGCACCUUCCCUCAACCACUGUAGCCACAUGAGAAUGAGCCCUUCCCAGCUUUGGACAUCCUCUGCUGUAGAAACCACCCUCCGAAUGGUCCACACUUGUGAGCUCCCCAAGCCACACUCAGGGAUGCUGAGCCAAAUCCCAGUACCUGGCUGCCCACCCCAGCCAGCCCAGCCUUUGGGGAUAGGGUGGGGAGGAGAGGGGCACUCAUGCCCAAGGGAUCCACAGUACACCUCUAUGAAGAGUUGUUUGGUUUUUAGCCCAGAAUUCCACUUGUCUAAAAGCAGAGCCUCCAAAAAGAGUUCAACUGUCAUAAUUCUCCCUGGAGAGUUUCACAGCCAAGGAAGAUGGAAAAAGUAUUGUCAUAAGAUAUUAUAUCUCCCUCAGGUACCGUGGCACAUGCCAGUAUUCCCAAUGACUCAGGAGGCUGAGGCAGAAGGACCCCAAGUUCAAGGCCAGCCUCAGCAUCUUAGUGAGACCAUUACUUCAAAAUAAAAAUUUUAAAAGUCUG
rnacentral:lncRNA from 1 species